CCGACAGACCAUAGUGAUGUCCUGCCCACCAGUGAACGACCUCAUGGACCUCUGGCCUGCUCUUAAAAUAGAGUCUGAGUUGUAUGCAGAGUUCCAGCGGAUUACAAAUCAGAACCUGCCCAACACGUGCUAUGCUGAGCUUGACCGCUAUCUUCCUCGACUGAUGACCUUAUUCAGAAGGCAUCAAAAACUGGGAAGACAGCAGAUGCUCUGGCUGAAAUUUUAAAAAUCCAUGAUGAACAGGAAAUCCAUGACAUACACACCAAGCGCACUACUGUUCUCCACGUCCUUC